UGGGGAUCUUACUACCGCACGCCUAAAAGUUUGAGCUUUAGAUGAUAAGCUCCCUGUUUGUGAGUGUAUCAAAUAUUUUUUGGUUUUCCCAUUAUUCCACUUAUAUUUCCAAUAUUGCACUAUUGGAGUCUUGUUUUUGUCAUAUUCAUAUGCUGCACUGAAAAAACACUGAAGUCACCAUGACUACAUCCAUAUCCAUUAAGUCAGGAUUAUAACACUAUACACUGUAAG